CCUUGUACACACCGCCCGUCACACCAUGGGAGUUGGUUUGACCUUAAGCUGGUGCGCCAACCCGCAAGGGGGCAGCCAACCACGGUCGGGUCAGCGACUGGGGGUG
rnacentral:rRNA from 1 species